GGCUGGUUAGACAGUAGUGGGUUAUCAGAACUUAUUAACACUAGUGUCACUGAAGUUGGUAUACAGCCCCCCUCCCCACUGCCACAUUUGACUGGUAUACA
rnacentral:Y_RNA from 1 species